CACGGAGUUAGCCGGGGCUUAUUCUCCCGGUACUGUCAUUAUCAUCCCGGGUAAAAGAGCUUUACAACCCUAAGGCCUUCAUCACUCACGCGGCAUUGCUGGAUCAGGCUUUCGCCCAUUGUCCAAUAUUCCUGG
rnacentral:rRNA from 1 species